CAGCUAGUUGGUAAGGUAACGGCUUACCAAGGCUACGAUGGGUAGGGGUCCUGAGAGGGAGAUCCCCCACACUGGUACUGAGACACGGACCAGACUCCUACGGGAGGCAGCAGUGAGGAAUAUUGGACAAUGGGCGCAAGCCUGAUCCAGCCAUGCCGCGUGCAGGAUGACGGUCCUAUGGAUUGUAAACUGCUUUUAUACGAGAAGAAACACUACUUCGUGAAGUAGCUUGACGGUAUCGUAAGAAUAAGGAUCGGCUAACUCCGUGCCAGCAGCCGCGGUAAUACGGAGGAUCCAAGCGUUAUCCGGAAUCAUUGGGUUUAAAGGGUCCGUAGGCGGUUUAAUAAGUCAGUGGUGAAAGCCCAUCGCUCAACGGUGGAACGGCCAUUGAUACUGUUAGACUUGAAUUAUUAGGAAGUAACUAGAAUAUGUAGUGUAGCGGUGAAAUGCUUAGAGAUUACAUGGAAUACCAAUUGCGAAGGCAGGUUACUACUAAUGGAUUGACGCUGAUGGACGAAAGCGU
rnacentral:rRNA from 1 species